CCGAGCACACAGUUCACACUCUACAACAUCCACUACUCUUCUCGGGGGUCUCUGUUCUUCCGUCCUCUCGGAGCUCACGCGGGCCAUGAGGCUCAGGCUAGACAUCCCCCCAGGCACCUGAAACCUCCCUGGUUCUGUUAUAAUCAGUCCAUUUGUUAUUCACAGAUUUUGAACUGCAUCUCAACUCCCACCUCCCAUCCACCAGGCUCCUAGGCCUGAACCACAACUCGAGCGCACAUUUCCAUCCCAUUUGGCCUCUGUGUCCACCAUGUGUCCACAGGACGAGCUUCUACCAUGUGCCGUCAGGAGGGUGGAGAUGCUGCACGUCUCUCAACCAAGCUGCAAGUUCCGUGAGGUCAGGAAUUGGUUGAGUUGCUCAUCUUUGGAUCCCGGAACGGAUCUUCCACCAGAUGGAACAGGAGGCAAGAGAGAGGAUGACACAAAGCAGAGACUUUGUGGGCUCCGUUACCGCUGUGUGAUGAGUGUCAGGGAGGGGCCGGAGGAGCGUCUGGAGCCUGAACUUGGAGAAGCUUGAAUGCCAUUCUCAGGAAUGCCACUGUUAUCCUGUCCGUAUCGGGAGCACCACAGAGCUGGUUUCCACUUCCCAGGGUGCCGCUUUCUCCGUGUCUUGGCAUGUGCUGUUCCCUUCGAGUGGAACACUCUUCCCCUCUCUUCCCACUGGAUAACUCCUCACCAUCCUCCCACAGACUCAAAGGCACCAUCGCUUCCCCAGGAGGCCCUGCCGACUCCUCCCCUGGAUCAGUUCCACCGCUCCUGUCUGAUCACAAACCGCUCUCACUGCUUACUUCACGCUGAUGUGGUAGAAACUGUGAGACCCAGAGAGACCUGUCCACCUGAUCUCCUGUGGGUCCCCCAAUCCAGGUCAGGCAAUGCCUGGCCUCUGAUAAAGGAAGAAAGGAAGAGAGGAAGAAAAAAUAAAAGAGGGGCUGUCAAA